UAGCUCAAUUGGUAGAGUGUUUGCCUACCAUGCAUAAGGCCCUAGGUUCAAUCCCCAG
rnacentral:tRNA from 1 species